GACAGAGGAGGCGAGCGUUGUCCGGAGUCACUGGGCGUAAAGCGUUCGUAGGUGGUUUGACAAGUCUGGGGUUAAAGCGUGUAGCUUAACUACAUAUAGGCGGUGGAAACUACAUGACUAGAGUGCGUUCGGGGCAGAGGGAAUUCCUGGUGUAGCGGUGAAAUGCGUAGAUAUCAGGAAGAACACCGGUGGCGAAGGCGCUCUGCUAGGCCGUAACUGACACUGAGGGACGAAAGCUAGGGGAGCGAAUGGG
rnacentral:rRNA from 1 species